rnacentral:rRNA from 1 species
AUGACGAAGGACGGCGAGCCUUCGGCGAAAAUCACCGGAGAGGUGCGCUACAUAGAGGUCGAUUUCUGCAAGGGGACUGAAAACCUACCCGAAUUUGGCUGGGGUAAACCUCUAUCCUCUCCUGAUGCUGCUUUCAAUGGCACUGACAAAAGUGACCGUUGUUGCCACUUACUGAACCCUGCGAGAAGAGUUUGCUCUGAUGGAUAUGACUAUGGUCGUAGAUUUCUUGUUUGUCCUCGCGAGGGUUAUGAUACAUGUGCUUAUCUGAAGUGGGUGGACAAAGAAUGGCAGGGGAGGCCUAGGCAGGUGAUUGGCAAACUUGCUGAAUAG